rnacentral:rRNA from 1 species
UACGGGGGGGGCAAGCGUUGUUCGGAAUUACUGGGCGUAAAGGGCCAGUAGGCGGCCAACUAAGUCACACGUGAAAUCCCCAGGCUUAACCUGGGAACUGCGUGUGAUACUGGAUGGCUUGAAUUCGGGAGAGGGAUGCAGAAUUCCAGGUGUAGCGGUGAAAUGCGUAGAUAUCUGAAGGAAUACCGGUGGCGAAGGCGGCAUCCUGGACCGACAUUGACGCUGAACGGCGAAAGCUAGGGGAGCAAACGGG